rnacentral:rRNA from 1 species
UACGUAGGGGGCUAGCGUUGCUCGGAAUUACUGGGCGUAAAGCGCACGUAGGCGGUCUUUUAAGUCGGGGUGAAAUCCUGGAGCUCAACUCCAGAACUGCCUUCGAUACUGAAAGACUUGAGUCCGGGAGAGGUGAGUGGAACUGCGAGUGUAGAGGUGAAAUUCGUAGAUAUUCGCAAGAACACCAGUGGCGAAGGCGGCUCACUGGCCCGGUACUGACGCUGAGGUGCGAAAGCGUGGGAGCAACAGGGAUUAAGAAACCCUGGUACGUUC